rnacentral:rRNA from 1 species
ACCCCAAGUCAGGCAGGAUCACCCGCUGAGUUUAAGCAUAUCAAUAAGUAGAGGAAAAGAAACUUACCAGGAUUCCCCUAGUAACGACGAGCGAACCGAAAAAAGCCCAACUUGAGAAUCGGGUGCCCCCGACGUCUGAAUUGUAGUCUAGAAAAGCGUCCUCAGCGGUGGACUGGGCCUAAGUCCUUGGAAAGGGGCACCGGAGAGGGUGAGAAGCCUCGUUGUGCCCGGACCUUGUCGCACCAUAAGGCACUGUUCGUUAGUCGGUUGUUUGGGAAUGCAGCCCCAAUCGAGCGAUAAAUUCCAUUCAAGGUUGAAUGCGAGCAAAAGAUCGAUAGCGAACAAGUACCAUGAUUGAAAGAUGAAAAGGGCUUUGAAAAGAGAGUCAAAGAGUACUUGAAAUUAUCGGGAGGGAAAUGGAUGAGGGUCAACGAUGUACCCCGAUCGGAUGUGGAAUGAUAAGAGCCGAUCCGUCGAUUGGCUCAGGAUGUGGACCGACGAUGGUCACGGUGAUGAUCCAAGCCCGAGCUUUCGAUGUGCUCUUGAAGAUGUCAUCACCGUGAUCGUGGAACACAGCAUGCACCAUCUUGAAACAUGGACCAAGGAGUCUGACAUACGUGUGAGUCAACGGGCCAGGAAACCUGUAAGGCGUAAGGAAGCUGAUUGGCGGGAUCCCUCACAGGUGCACCACCGACCGACCAUUGAAAAUCUUCCUGAGAAGCGGUUCGCAGUGCGAGCGCAUGCUCGUUGGGACUCGAAGAUGGUGAACUAUGACCUGAGCGGGGCAAAGCCAAGGAAAACCUGGUAGCAGGCCCGUAGUGAUACUGACGUGCAAAUCGUUCGUUUUGACUUGGGUAUAAGGGUGAAGACUAAUCGAAUCCAUCUAGUAGCUAGUUCACUCUGAGUUUUCCUUAGGAUAACUAGAGACCCCGUCGAGUUCUAUCGGGUAAAGCCAAUGAUUAGAGGCAUCAGGGGUGCAACGUCCUCGACCUAUUCUCAAACUUUAAAUAGGUACGAUAGUGCGGCUGCUUCGUUGAGCCAUGCCACGGAAUCAAGAGCUCCAAGUGGGCCAUUUUUGGUAAAAAGAACUGGUGAUACGGGAUGAAUCGAAAGUCACGUUACGGUGCCUAACUGCACGCUAACCCAGAACCCACAAAGGGUGUUGGUCGAUUAAGAUAGCAGGAUGGUGGUCAUGGAAGUCGAAAUCCGCUAAGGAGGGUGUAACAACUCGCUUGCCAAAUCAACUAGCCCUGAAAAUGGAUGGUGCUUAAACGCGUGUCCUAUACCCGAUCGUUGAGGCAAGGGCUAGGCCUCGAUGAGUAGGAAGGCAUAGCAGUCACCGUAAAACCCAGGGUGCGAGCUCAGGCGGAGUGGCUGUCGGUGCAGAUCUUGGUGGUAGUAGCAAAUAUUCAAAUGAGAACUUUGAAGGUUGAAGAGGGGAAAGGUUCCAUGUGAACGACACUUGCACAUGGGUUAGUCGAUCCUAAAAGAUGGGGGAAACCAUCGACAGCGCGUCCCACAUGAGCUUUGAAAGGGAAUCAGGUUAAAAUUCUUGAACCGGGACGCGGUGGCUGACGGUAACAUUAGGGACUCUAAAAACAUCGGUGAGGGCCUUAGGAAAAGUUAUCUUUUCUGUUUAACGGCCCACCCACCCUGGAAAUGGCUCAACCGAAGGUAGGGUCUAGCGACCAAAAGAGCAUCACACGUCAUUUAGUGUCUGGUGCACCCCCGGUGGCCCUUGAAAAUCUGGAGGACCGAGUGCCGUCUACGUCCGGUCGUACUCAUAACUGCAUCAGGUCUCCAAAGUGAACAGCCUCUUGUCGAUGGAACAAUGUAGGCAAGGGAAGUUGACAAAAUAAAUCCGUAACCUCGAGAAAAAGAUUGGCUCUGAGGGCUAGGCAUGGGGGUCCCAGUCCUGAACCCGUCGACUGUCGGUGCACUGCUUAAGCUGCUCCAACGAUGAGAACGGGUCACCGUAUGUCAGUCGGGGGACGGACUGGGAACAGCUCCCUUUGGGGCCUUCCCUGGAUGAUGAAUAGUUAACUCAAAAUUGGUACAGAUAAGGGGAAUUUGACUGUUUAAUUAAAAGAAAGCAUUGCGAUGGUCCCUGCGGAUGCUCACGUAAUGUGAUUUCUACCCAGUGCUCUGAAUGUCAAAGUGAAGAAAUUCAACCAAGCGUGGGUAAACGAUGGGAGUAACUAUGACUCUUUUAAGGUAGCCAAAUACCUCGUCAUCAAAUUAGUGACGCGCAUGAAUGGACUAACAAGAUUCCCACUGUCCUUGUCUACUAUCCAGUGAAACCACAGCCAAGGGAACGAGCUUGGUAGAAUCAGUGAGGAAAGAAGACCCUAUUGAGCUUAACUCUAGUCCGAUUUUAUGAAAUGACUUGAGAGGUGUAGGAUAAGUGGGAGCCCCCGGGUGAAAUUGAAAUACCACUACUUUUGACGUUAUUUUACUUAUUUCAUAAAUCAGAGGUGGGGCAUGACCCCUUCUUUUAGACCCAAAGCCGGCCUCGAUUGAUCGAUCCGGGCAAAAAACAUUGUUAGGUGGAGAGUUUGGCUGGGGUGGCAUAUCUGUUAAAAGAUAACGUAGGUGUCCUAAGAUGAGCUCAACGAGAACAUAAAUCUCGUGUGGAACAAAAGGGUAAAAGCUCAUUUGAUUCUGAUUUCCAGUACGAAUACGAACCAUGAAAGCGUGGCCUAUCGAUCCUUUAGACCUUCAGGAUUCCAAGCUAGAGGUGUCAGAAAAGUUACCACAAGGAUAACUGGCUUGUGGCAGCCAAGUGUUCAUAGCGAUGUUGCUUUUUGAUCCUUCGAUGUCGACUCUUCCUAUCCUUGUGAAGCAGAAUUCACCAAGUGUUGGAUUGUUCACCCACCAAUAGGGAACGUGAGCUGGUUUUAGACCGUCGUGAGACAGGUUAGUUUUACCCUACUGAUGGCGGCGUCGCGAUAGUAAUUCAACCUAGUACGAGAGGAACCGUUGAUUCACAUAAUUGGUCAUCGCGCUUGGUUGAAAAGCCAGUGGCGCGAAGUUACCAUGCACUGGAUUAUGACUGAACGCCUUUAAGUUAGAAUCCGGGCUAGAAGCGAUGUGCACACCCACCCACCGAUUGUUGACCCAUAGUAGGGGCCCAUGGCCCUCAAGGGCAUGUGUCGUAGGUGCAGCCCCUCACGGCGGACAAGUCGUACGGGCCUCCUUG